UUGGAGGGCAAGUCUGGUGCCAGCAGCCGCGGUAAUUCCAGCUCCAAUAGCGUAUAUUAAAGUUGUUGCAGUUAAAAGGCUCGUAGUUGAAUUUCGGGAUCAAAUUGUCGGUCGUGCCUCGGUACGCACUGGUAUUAUUGGUUCCUACCUUCUGAAGAACCGCGAUGUCAUUAAUUUGGUGUCGUGGGGAAUCAGGACUGUUACUUUGAAAAAAUUAGAGUGUUUAAAGCAGGCUUACGCUUGAAUACAUUAGCAUGGAAUAAUGAAAUAGGACGUUUGAUUCUAUUUUGUUGGUUUCUAGGAUUGACGUAAUGAUUAAUAGGGAUAGUUGGGGGCAUUAGUAUUCAAUUGUCAGAGGUGAGAUUCUUGGAUUUAUUGAAGACUAACUACUGCGAAAGCAUUUGCCAAGGAUGUUUUCAUUAAUCAAGAACGAAAGUUAGGGGAUCGAAGACGAUCAGAUACCGUCGUAGUCUUAACCAUAAACUAUGCCGACUAGGGAUCGGAUGAUGUUAAUUUUUUAAUGACUCAUUCGGCGCCUUACGGGAAAC
rnacentral:rRNA from 1 species